UAGAAGUAAGCAUAUACACCGCACAUCUAAUUAUCGAGUAGUCUAGGGCUUCUUCUGAUGGGCAUAAUGAACAGCAUGGAUGAUGUGCUCAACAACCUUAGGGUCAGCCAAGGUACUCAAGUCUCCAAUCUGGUCGACUUCACCAGCCAAAAUCUUACGGAGAAUGCGGCGCAUAAUUUUACCACUUCUAGUUUUUGGAAGAUCACUGAAAAUUAACUUGCGUGGAGAUGCAAAGGGGCCAAUUGUCGAUCGAACCGCCAUGAUCAACUCCUUUUCAAGUUCGACUGUAGCUUCAUAGCCAGGUUUCAAUAAAAUAAAGGCAUUGACGGCUUGACCGGUUAGCUCAUCAUGAACACCAACAACAGCGGAUUCUGCGACAGCGUCAUGAGACAACAAAGCAGCCUCGAUUUCAGCUGUACUCAGACGAUGGCCGGAAAUGUUGACAACAUCAUCAACACGUCCACGAAUCCAAAUGUAACCAUCUUUAUCGCGGGUAGCACCAUCACCGGUGAAGUAGAACCCAGGAUAUGGCUUCAAGUAGGUGUCGAUGUAACGAUCGUGACCGCGCCAAACAGUUCUAGCAGCGCUGGGCCAGGGACUGCGGAUAGCAAGAACACCUUCAACAUCGUUGCCUUCAAUGAUCUUGCCAGUCAAGGGAUCAAUGAUGACUGCAUCGAUACCGAAAAAGGGUAACGUA